GCCUUCGUAGGAAUCAGUGGUAGAUCGUACCGGCCGCGUGUAUGCGCGGGUUCGAAUCCCGCCGAAGGCA
rnacentral:tRNA from 1 species